UACAGAGGGUGCAAGCGUUGUUCGGAAUCAUUGGGCGUAAAGCGCACGUAGGCGGCUUGUUAAGUCGGAUGUGAAAGCCCCCAGGCUCAACCUGGGAAGUGCAUUCGAAACUGGCGAGCUUGAAUGUCGGAGAGGGCAGUGGAAUUCCGAGUGUAGAGGUGAAAUUCGUAGAUAUUCGGAGGAACACCAGUGGCGAAGGCGACUGCCUGGACGAACAUUGACGCUGAGGUGCGAAAGCGUGGGGAGCAAACAGG
rnacentral:rRNA from 1 species